rnacentral:rRNA from 1 species
AUGUGCUUUCCGCCAAGCCAAAGCUUGGAACCUACAACUACAAAAAAGAGAAAACAUGAUAACUCAAUUAUUGGAGCAUCAAAAAGCCAAAGGUUGGAGAAAACAACUAAGAAAAAAGGGAAAGAGAGUAAAUCUGGAUCUGGAGUAGCAAAAAGAGCAAGAACUCAACCCGUUUGUGUGGCCAACAAGAAAACAUCUGUUGUUGUGAAGGUACAUGCCAAAAGAAAAAGCAAAGAGGUUCCUGAUAAGUUGCCAUGCCUUCCUAUGGUGCCACAUGAUAGCCUUGCAAUGGGCACAUGA